GACGAACGCUGGCGGCGUGCUUAACACAUGCAAGUCGAACGAAGUGGCGAACGGGUGAGUAACGCGUAAUCAACCUGCCCUUCCGAGGGGGAUAACAGUUGGAAACGACUGAUAAUACCGCAUACUGAAGGAGGGGAUUGCGUUGGAGUAGCUAGUGGGAGGGGUAACGGCCCACCAAGGCGAUGAUCAGUAGCCGGUCGGAGUGGAUGAACGGCCACACUGGGACUGAGAACCGGCCCCGACUCCUACGGGAGGGAGGAGUGGGGAAUCUUCCGCAAUGGACGAAAGUCUGACGGAGCAACGCCGCGUGAGUGAAGACGGCCUUCGGGUUGUAAAGCUCUGUUAAUCGGGACGCGGUACCGGAAUAGAAAGCCACGGCUAACUACGUGCCAGCCGCCGCGGUAAUUC
rnacentral:rRNA from 1 species